CUGGUACAGGAAUCACAUCAUCAUUUCUGGUUCCGCUCCUUGGCGCUCUCCCUCUCUAUCUCUCCAUCGCGCAUUCUCACACACACCAACCAAAACGAAGGUAUCGAACGCCAUCUUGAUUUCUCAGACUUGAGAGAAAGAAAAAGAUUUUUUUUUUGUGAGCUGCGAAACAAAGCAAAAGCAGCAGCAGCGACAACAACAACAACAUGGACGACUACACUCGGGAGAUGAUGGACCUGAAGACCCUCGUCACUCGAACCCUAGAAAAGAAGGGCGUUCUCGCCAAGAUCCGAGCUGAACUUAGAGCAAGUGUUUUUGAGGCAAUUGAAGAAGAAGAUAAGACAAUAGAAAAGGAAGAAGGUUUGCCUCCUGCACUAUUGGGUAGUUGCAAUGACCGUGCAAAACAACUUCAUGCUUCACCUUCAGGAAGGCUUCUGACUGCGCUGAUAAGUGAAUACUUGGACUGGGCACAACUGAGCCACACACUAAAAGUUUAUUUGCCAGAAUGUAAUUUGCAAAAGGAUUUUUGGAAAGCUGAGUUAAAAGAAUUUAGUAGCAAGAAUGGAUAUGAUCUUAAUAGGAAUGGAGAUAGCGCUCCUUUGCUUUUGGAUGUUCUUGAAGGAUUCUUGAAGUAUGAGAAUUUGUCCCAAGCAAGGGGUACUGGAAGGAGAUAUACUCCAGAAUCUGAGUCUUUGACCAAUUUAGAAGCACGGAACAUGAGAAGACCUUCGUCAUCAUCUGUUGCUGGUGGCUUACCUCCACUUGGAAGGCCCGUUCCUGUUUCUCAAGCAUCUGAUAGGAGAGGUGGAUCCUCCAUGUCUAGCUACAGGAGAGACGAAUACAAUUGGAGAUAUGACAGCGAUGAACUACCAGAGGAUGUAGCUCGUGCGUCAACUGCUUUGGAAAACCUUCAGUUGGAUAGAAAAGCUCGGAAUCUUACCAGUUCUUGGAGUGUGCAUAUUAAUUUAGAUAUGAUUUUUUAAGUUCGAGCUCUCUGGAGUUUGAAUUCGGUUCGUUCAUAUAAUCAAGUUUCUCAAAUAUUGGAUGAGCUUCGCUUGAGGAAUGCUGGGGAUGGAAUCACCGAGGAUGAUGGCAGGGUAGACCAUAUGUAGCUGAAUGUCAUUUAAAUGACUGCUCGUGUACUUUGCUACUGCGUUAUUUUGUUUAUUGUCCAUUAUUGAUGUUAUUCUAAGAUCAUCAUAAACAUUGUGCGUUGUGUUUUAAUGAGUUUUUUGUUAUGUUCUUGCACACAUUGUGAAAUUUCAUUGUCACUGGUCCAAGGGCGGUUUUAUGUUUGUUGCAUGCUAUGCAAAUGUUGUAUGUGAAAUUUCAAGGUGGUUUGGGAACACAGCAUUGCAAAGGGAAGUAUUAAGAAGGGACUGUGAUAAUCAUAAUCCAAUGCAUGAUAUUAAAAUUGUUUUUGAA